rnacentral:rRNA from 1 species
GACGAACGCUGGCGGCGCGCUUAACACAUGCAAGUCGAACGGAAAGGCCUGCUUUCCCUUGUGGAUUGCGGGUACUCGAGUGGCGAACGGGUGAGUAACACGUGAGUGAUCUGCCCCCAACUUGGGUAUAAGCCUGGGAAACUGGGUCUAAUUCCCGAUAGGACUGCAGGGUGGUGCCUGUGGUGGAAAACGAUUUUCUAGUGGUUGGGGAUGAGCUCGCGGCCUAUCAGCUUGUUGGUGGGGUAAUGGCCUACCAAGGCGGCGACGGGUAGCCGGCCUGAGAGGGGGGACGGACACAUUGGGACUGAGAUACGGCCCAGACUCCUACGGGAGGCAGCAGUGGGGAAUAUUGCACAAUGGGCGGAAGCCUGAUGCAGCGACGCCGCGUGGGGGAUGACGGCCUUCGGGUUGUAAACUCCUUUCGACCGCGAGGAAGCCACCUGGUUGGAAGGGUGGUGACGGUAGUGGUAGAAGAAGCACCGGCUAACUACGUG